UACGUAGGGGGCUAGCGUUGCUCGGAAUCACUGGGCGUAAAGCGCACGUAGGCGGAUACUUAAGUCAGGGGUGAAAUCCCGGGGCUCAACCCCGGAACUGCCUUUGAUACUGGGUAUCUCGAGUCCGGAAGAGGUGAGUGGAAUUCCGAGUGUAGAGGUGAAAUUCGUAGAUAUUCGGAGGAACACCAGUGGCGAAGGCGGCUCACUGGUCCGGUACUGACGCUGAGGUGCGAAAGCGUGGGGAGCAAACAGG
rnacentral:rRNA from 1 species